rnacentral:rRNA from 1 species
AGAGUUUGAUCCUGGCUCAGGAUUAACGCUGGCGGCAUGCCUAAUACAUGCAAGUCGAACGGAAGUAGCAAUACUUUAGUGGCGAACGGGUGAGUAACACGUAUCUAACCUACCAUAUUAGUGGGGAACAACUGUUGGAAACGACAGCUAAUACCGCAUAUGUUAUUAGUAUGAAAAACUAAUAAUGAAAGGAGCAGUAAUGCUUCGCUAAUUGAUGGGGAUGCGGCGCAUUAGCUAGUUGGUAAGGUAAUGGCUUACCAAGGCAAUGAUGCGUAGCCAGUCUGAGAGGACGAACGGCCACAUUGGGACUGAGACACGGCCCAAACUUCUACGGAAGGCAGCAGUAGGGAAUUUUUCACAAUGGGCGAAAGCCUGAUGGAGCAAUGCCGCGUGACUGAUGAAGGUCUUCGGAUUGUAAAGGUCUGUUGUAAGGGAAGAAAUGCUAUAAUAGGAAAUGAUUAUAGCAUCGACGGUACCUUACCAGAAAGCCACGGCUAACUAUGUGCCAGCAGCCGCGGUAAUACAUAGGUGGCAAGCGUUAUCCGGAUUUAUUGGGCGUAAAGCGUGCGUAGACGGUUAUGCAAGUCUGAGGUUAAAUUUAGGGGCUCAACCCCUAACCGCCUUGGAAACUACAUGACUAGAGUAUAGGAGAGGUUAGUGGAAUUUCAUGUGUAGCGGUGGAAUGCGUAGAUAUAUGAAGGAACACCAGUGGCGAAGGCGGCUAACUGGCCUAUUACUGACGUUGUGGCACGAAAGCGUGGGGAGCAAAUAGGAUUAGAUACCCUAGUAGUCCACGCCGUAAACGAUGAGUACUAAGUGUUGCCAAGAGGUAGUGCUGUAGCUAACGCAUUAAGUACUCCGCCUGAGUAGUAUGCUCGCAAGAGUGAAACUCAAAGGAAUUGACGGGGACCCGCA